AGGACGAACGCUGGCGGCGUGCUUAACACAUGCAAGUCGAACGGAAAGGCCCGCUUGCGGGUACUCGAGUGGCGAACGGGUGAGUAACACGUGGGCAACCUGCCCUCAGCUUCGGGAUAACACUUGGAAACAGGUGCUAAUACCGGAUAAUAACCUUUCAUCGCAUGGUGUGGGGUUCAAAGUUUUUCGGCUGGGGAUGGGCCCGCGGCCUAUCAGCUUGUUGGUGGGGUAAUGGCCUACCAAGGCGACGACGGGUAGCCGGCCUGAGAGGGCGACCGGCCACACUGGGACUGAGACACGGCCCAGACUCCUACGGGAGGCAGCAGUGGGGAAUAUUGCGCAAUGGGCGGAAGCCUGACGCAGCGACGCCGCGUGAGGGAUGACGGCCUUCGGGUUGUAAACCUCUUUCAGCUCUGACGAAGCGCAAGUGACGGUAGGAGCAGAAGAGCACCGGCAACUACGCGCCAGCAGCCGCGGUAA
rnacentral:rRNA from 1 species